UCCCUCACACCCCACCUUCCCCCAAGAACCCUAGUAGCCGCCCCCAAAUUCCGCCGCCGGCACUGGCGGCGCCGGCUCUUUUCUGGCCCAAAUUGACACCCUGAAAUCCCCUCUUCUCCCUCAUCUCAAAUCCACAAUUCCUUUCCUUCAAAACUCGUCCAAAUGUCUCGAAUAUUGGAUCGAAAUUUUUCCGGCCAUGACUCAAAGUAGCCCAAAUCGUACCAAAUUUACACCAUAAGAUCGCAUCCGUGUCCUCUAUCGAAUCCCCAAGGCCCUGACCCUCGAAUGUGGACGGAACCGUUCAAUUAUUAAUUUUAAAACUUUCCGGCCAAAACCCUAAAUGAUCCAAUCCUUACCAAAUUAGUACCAUAGGGUCCCUGUGCUUCCCUCAUGAGGAAUUCAGUGUCAAAAGACUUCAAAUAUCACCGGAGAUGGCCGGAGUUGAACUUUCAGUUAGCCUGAUUUUUUAUGAAAUCGUGUCAAUAUUAGUACUUUUCCAGGUUCAUUUGAUGUUGAAGGACUGAAUCUAUGUGUAUUGGUCAAUUGAGGAAAUGAAAUCUAGAUCGUGUUAACUUGAUGUCAAUUUGUUCUAUGUCGUGUUAAUUUGAAUUUUAGUUGCCUAGUAGUAGUAGUAAGGAAUUGGAUGAUUGGAAACAUUUGUAUAACUUGUGAUAAUUGGACUGUAAUAAAACUGUUUGUGUUAGAUAUUAGCAUGCUAGUUUAUUAGUAUAUGAAUGGAUAUAUAUAGGCCUGUUA